AUAUAGCAGCUCAUUGAAAAUGCGAUAAUUGCGCCACAGAAGAGGACGAGCAGUAAUUUCGUUGGAUAAGUUAUGUGGCUCUUGUUGAAUACUGGAUUAGGUGUGAAGAGGGAGUGAAAACGGAAAACAAUUAAUUGGGUCUCGACACG
ensembl:ncRNA K04D7.13 ncRNA